GAGCGCUUAAUGACGGGAAUAAGUACUGCCUGUGCCCUUACAUAGAGAGCCGCGCUUGGUGGAAAGCGGUAAAGGGUUAUGCAGGAAUCCAUCCCUGAGAGUUGGAUCAACUGUAAGGUUGAUGACACGGGUCAUUUCCGUUAUCGAUGAUUAAGCGGCCGGCAGACUGUGUAUGAUAAGCCGGCAAUUUGGGUGGCAACGCGGGUUAUAUCUCGUCCCUUCA
rnacentral:ncRNA from 1 species